CUUUAGCAUAUGGUAUCCCAGCUGUGCCUGAGCAGUGUUAUGGGGGAAGUCUUGUUGAGACAGGCCAGUGUGAUGUAGGAAAGCAGGCUACUAGUUGUGUCUCAGGAGUUGAGAGAGCCCAGGUGACCCAGCUUGCCUCCUAGCUAGAUGUGCUAUGGGAUCAGUUAUCUCCCUUAGUGAAAGUGUAAUGACUUAUCUAGAUAAAGCCUGAUAUUUUAACAGUGAUCAUGAUACCAUAUCUGCUCAACUGGUACAAUCUGCCAACAUAAAAACUCAAGGUAACUCUUUGAGUGUUGUGUUAGGCUAGGUCUCACAAUUAAAACUAUGGUGUUUCUGAUAGAUAGAUUAAACACUCACUUUUAAAUGUGAAGUGGAAGUAUUCAAGGCUGGAAUGGAUGGGGCCUUGGGCAACCUGAUCUAGUGCAUGGUAACUCUGCCCAUGGAAGGAUGUUGGAAAUAGAUUAUGUUUAAGGUCCUUUCCAACCCAACCCAUUCUAUGAUUCUGUUAUCUUGCAGUGGUGUCCAAGAAGAAGAAAAACCCCUUUGAACAAACCUGAAAAUUUCUCAUGCUGUAUCUCAUGCCGGGAUAACAGGCUCUCUGAAAACUCUAGAACUGAAAAGUGCCCAGUUCUUUCUCAUCUGAGGAUAAGCUUUGUUGGAUAAAAAACAUAUUGUGCAAUUCAUGAGAAUCUUUCUGAUUGGAUAAUGAAAUAAAGUGAUUUUCAAUCAAGGGACUGUGUUUUUA
rnacentral:lncRNA from 1 species